rnacentral:rRNA from 1 species
CCUACGGGAGGCAGCAGUGGGGAAUAUUGGACAAUGGGCGAAAGCCUGAUCCAGCAAUGCCGCGUGAGUGAUGAAGGCCUUAGGGUUGUAAAGCUCUUUUACCAGGGAUGAUAAUGACAGUACCUGGAGAAUAAGCUCCGGCUAACUCCGUGCCAGCAGCCGCGGUAAUACGGAGGGAGCUAGCGUUGUUCGGAAUUACUGGGCGUAAAGCGUACGUAGGCGGUUAUUCAAGUCAGAGGUGAAAGCCUGGAGCUCAACUCCAGAACUGCCUUUGAAACUAGAUAGCUAGAAUCUUGGAGAGGUGAGUGGAAUUCCGAGUGUAGAGGUGAAAUUCGUAGAUAUUCGGAAGAACACCAGUGGCGAAGGCGACUCACUGGACAAGUAUUGACGCUGAGGUACGAAAGCGUGGGGAGCAAACAGGAUUAGAUACCCUGGUAGUCCACGCCGUAAACGAUGAUAACUAGCUGUUCGGGCUCUACGAGCUUGAGUGGCGCAGCUAACGCAUUAAGUUAUCCGCCUGGGGAGUACGGUCGCAAGNUUAAAACUCAAAGAUAAUGACGNGNGAGAGCGACGACGACGACGACGGAGGAGGAGG